UACGUAGGGUGCAAGCGUUGUCCGGAAUUAUUGGGCGUAAAGAGCUCGUAGGCGGUUUGUCGCGUCGAAUGUGAAAACCCGGGGCUCAACUCCGGGCCUGCAUUCGAUACGGGCAGACUAGAGUUCGGUAGGGGAGACUGGAAUUCCUGGUGUAGCGGUGAAAUGCGCAGAUAUCAGGAGGAACACCGAUGGCGAAGGCAGGUCUCUGGGCAACUACUGACGCUGAGGAGCGAAAGCGUGGGGAGCGAACAGG
rnacentral:rRNA from 1 species